UGCGUAGGUGGUGACAUAAGUUAGAUGUGAAAUUCCCGGGCUUAACCUGGGGACUGCGCCUAAUACUGUGUGACUAGAGUUUUGUAGAGGAAGGUGGAAUUUCCGGUGUAGCGGUGAAAUGCGUAGAUAUCGGAAGGAACAUCAGUGGCGGAGGCGACCUUCUGGACAAAGACUGACACUGAGGCACGAAAGCAUGGGGAGCAAACAGGAUUAGAUACCCUGGUAGUCCAUGCUGUAAACGAUGAAGACUGGCUGUUGGAUGUCUACGGACAUUUGGUAGCGAAGCUAACGCGUUAAGUCUUCCGCCUGGGGAGUACGGCCGCAAGGUUAAA
rnacentral:rRNA from 1 species